rnacentral:rRNA from 1 species
UAGGGGAUCUUGCUUAAUGGGCGCAAGCCUGAAGCAGCAACGCCGCGUGUGCGAUGACGGCCUUCGGGUUGUAAAGCACUUUUGGUCGGGAAGAGGAAGGACGGUACCGGCCGAAUAAGCCUCGGCUAACUACGUGCCAGCAGCCGCGGUAAAACGUAGGAGGCGAGCGUUAUCCGGAUUUACUGGGUGUAAAGCGCGUGCAGGCGGCUGGUCAAGUUGGAUGUGAAAGCUCCUGGCUCAACCGGGAGAGGACGUUCAAAACUGACCGGCUGGAGCAUGGUAGGGGAAGGUGGAAUUCCGGGUGGAGUGGUGAAAUGCGUAGAGAUCCGGAGGAACACCAGUGGCGAAGGCGGCCUUCUAGACCAUGUCUGACGCUCAGACGCGAAAGCUAGGGUAGCAAACGGG